CAUGCAUGUCUAAGUGUAAGCAAUUAUACAGCGAAACUGCGAAUGGCUCAUUAUAUAAGUUAUCGUUUAUUUGAUAGUACCUUACUACAUGGAUAACCGUGGUAAUUCUAGAGCUAAUACAUGCUGAAAAUCCCGACCUCCGGAAGGGACGCAUUUGUUAGAUUAAAAACCAAUGCCCUCUGGGCUCCCUGGUGAUUCAUGACAACUUCGCGAAUCGCAUGGCCUUGCGCCGGCGAUGGUUCAUUCAAAUUUCUUCCCUAUCAACUUUCGAUGUUUGGGUAGUGGCCAAACAUGGUUGCAACGGGUAACGGAGGGUUAGGGCUCGACCCCGGAGAAGGAGCCUGAGAAACGGCUACUACAUCCAAGGAAGGCAGCAGGCGCGCAAAUUACCCAAUCCCGACACGGGGAGGUAGUGACAAUAAAUACUGAUACAGGGCCUUUAUGGGUCUUGUAAUUGGAAUGAGUACAAUUUAAAUCCCUUAGCGAGGAACAAUUGGAGGGCAAGUCUGGUGCCAGCAGCCGCGGUAAUUCCAGCUCCAAUAGCGUAUAUUAAAGUUGUUGUGGUUAAAAAGCUCGUAGUUGAACCUUGGGCCUGGCUGGCCGGUCCGCCUCACCGCGUGUACUGGUCCGGCCGGGCCUUUCCCUCUGUGGAACCCCAUGCCCUUCACUGGGCGUGGCGGGGAAACAGGACUUUUACUUUGAAAAAAUUAGAGUGCUCCAGGCAGGCGUAUGCUCGAAUACAUUAGCAUGGAAUAAUAGAAUAGGCCGCGCGGUUCUAUUUUGUUGGUUUCUAGGACCGCCGUAAUGAUUAAUAGGGACAGUCGGGGGCAUCAGUAUUCAAUUGUCAGAGGUGAAAUUCUUGGAUUUAUUGAAGACUAACUACUGCGAAAGCAUUUGCCAAGGAUGUUUUCAUUAAUCAGGAACGAAAGUUAGGGGAUCGAAGACGAUCAGAUACCGUCGUAGUCUUAACCAUAAACUAUGCCGACUAGGGAUCGGACGAUGUUAUUCUAUGACUCGUUCGGCACCUUACGAGAAAUCAAAGUGCUUGGGCUCCAGGGGGAAUAU
rnacentral:rRNA from 1 species